UACGUAGGGUGCGAGCGUUGUCCGGAAUUAUUGGGCGUAAAGAGCUCGUAGGCGGUGUGUUACGUCGGCCGUGAAAACCUGCAGCUUAACUGUGGGCGUGCGGUCGAUACGGGCAUCACUGGAGUUCGGCAGGGGAGACUGGAAUUCCUGGUGUAGCGGUGAAAUGCGCAGAUAUCAGGAGGAACACCGGUGGCGAAGGCGGGUCACUGGACUGGUACUGACGCUGAGGCGCGAAAGCGUGGGGAGCAAACAGG
rnacentral:rRNA from 1 species